AUGGCUCAGGAUGAACGCUAGCUACAGGCUUAACACAUGCAAGUCGAGGGGCAGCAUUGAGAUAGCUUGCUAUUCAGAUGGCGACCGGCGCACGGGUGAGUAACGCGUAUCCAACCUUCCCCUUAGUAGGGCAUAGCCCGUAGAAAUGCGGAUUAAUACCCUAUGUUGUAUAUUGAGGACAUCUGAUUUAUACCAAAGGUUCACCGCUAAGGGAUGGGGAUGCGUCUGAUUAGGUUGUUGGCGGGGUAACGGCCCACCAAGCCUACGAUCAGUAGGGGUUCUGAGAGGAAGGUCCCCCACAUUGGAACUGAGACACGGUCCAAACUCCUACGGGAGGCAGCAGUGAGGAAUAUUGGUCAAUGGACGAGAGUCUGAACCAGCCAAGUAGCGUGCAGGAUGACGGCCCUAUGGGUUGUAAACUGCUUUUAUAUAGGGAUAAAGUCACCCACGUGUGGGUGUUUGUAGGUACUAUAUGAAUAAGGACCGGCUAAUUCCGUGCCAGCAGCGGC
rnacentral:rRNA from 1 species